GAUGAACGCUAGCGGCAGGCUUAAUACAUGCAAGUCGUGGGGCAGCAGGGGUAGCAAUACCCGCUGGCGACCGGCAAACGGGUGCGUAACACGUACGCAACUUUCCUUUAAGCGGGGGAGUAGCCCAGAGAAAUUUGGUAUUAAUACCCACUAUGAUAUUAGAAUGGCAUCAUUUAGUAUAUUAAAGCUCCGGCACUUAAAGAUGGGCGUGCGGUUG
rnacentral:rRNA from 1 species